ACGGGUGAGUAACGCGUAAAGAACUUGCCUCACAGAUAGGGACAACAUUUGGAAACGAAUGCUAAUACCUGAUAUUAUGAUUAUAUGGCAUCGUAUAAUUAUGAAAGCUAUAUGCGCUGUGAGAGAGCUUUGCGUCCCAUUAGCUAGUUGGUGAGGUAACGGCUCACCAAGGCCGUGAUGCAUAGCCGACCUGAGAGGGUGAUCGGCCACAUUGGGACUGAGACACGGCCCAAACUCCUACGGGAGGCAGCAGUAGGGAAUCUUCCGCAAUGGACGCAAGUCUGACGGAGCAACGCCGCGUGAGUGAAGAAGGAUUUCGGUUCGUAAAACUCUGUUGUUAGAGAAGAACAGCGCAUAGAGUAACUGUUAUGCGUGUGACGGUAUCUAACCAGAAAGCCACGGCUAACUACGUGCCAGCAGCCGCGGUAAUACGUAGGUGGCAAGCGUUGUCCGGAUUUAUUGGGCGUAAAGCGAGCGCAGGCGGUCAAUUAAGUCUGAUGUGAAAGCCCCCGGCUCAACCGGGGAGGGUCAUUGGAAACUGGUUGACUUGAGUGCAGAAGAGGAGAGUGGAAUUCCAUGUGUAGCGGUGAAAUGCGUAGAUAUAUGGAGGAACACCAGUGGCGAAGGCGACUCUCUGGUCUGUAACUGACGCUGAGGCUCGAAAGCGUGGGUAGCAAACAGGAUUAGAUACCCUGGUAGUCCACGCCGUAAAC
rnacentral:rRNA from 1 species